rnacentral:piRNA from 1 species
UUCCAUUUUUGAUCUCUGUUGCGUAUGA